UACGUAGGGGGCAAGCGUUGUCCGGAAUUAUUGGGCGUAAAGCGCGCGCAGGCGGUUCUUUAAGUCUGGUGUCUAAGUGCGGGGCUCAACCCCGUGAUGCACUGGAAACUGGGGAACUUGAGUGCAGAAGAGGAGAGCGGAAUUCCACGUGUAGCGGUGAAAUGCGUAGAUAUUCGGAAGAACACCAGUGGCGAAGGCGACACACUGGGCCAUUGCUGACGCUGAGGCGCGAAAGCGUGGGGAGCAAACAGG
rnacentral:rRNA from 1 species